rnacentral:misc_RNA from 1 species
GACGCCUCCUGCGAAUCGCGACGCGCUCCACGAUACUGUCGGUGCUGCCCCCACACGGCCGCAAACGGCUACAGAGUCCGUCCGUGACGACCUUGCAACGCCCUUGCGAACCCUCGUAACUCGCGGUUGUUUUACGUUAUACGCGUUUGUUGGUGUAGUUGGUUUUUUUUGUUGUUGUUUUUCUUGGGAUACCAAGCAGGAUUCUUCUGUUAUCAUUUUUAUCAGAUUAAACCACCACCACCAUGACCUCGGAACAAAACAAAUGCGGACUCACCUCCCUCUUGCCUCUGUCUUGCCGAGACCGCGCAGAAGCUUUCGCCAGAAGCCUCCAGACCCGCCUUAACUCCUUGAGCACUCCGGGAGGGUCUCCCUCGACAGAAGAACACACUUGGCUCGGGACCCACGCCAGUACCACCUUGGCUCUCUCACAACCUUUACACAAUCCAGACAGCUAUUUGGCCUUGGAACAGGUAUUCCAGUCACCAAGCAGUCCACAAGAAGAAGUAGAUUACCAUAAGUUAUUAAAUGGUAGUGCAAUAACAGUGGUUAACGGGUUAAAUAGACACUAUUCCGGUGAUAGUGAUAACGACGUGUUUUAUGAUCUGGAUGAUGAACCGCCGCCCCCUCAUGAGAACGGAGUGGAAUUAAACUCCUUGGGGAGUGAUAACCUUAGUGAUACUUAUGCCACCUCGGAAGAUUGCACUCCGCAGGCCUCGUUAAGUGAGGAACUAUCUACUUUAAGUAUCUGUGAUACAAGUCAGGAACAGAAUGGUGAUGUGUUAACAGAAGUGGAGGGAGAUGAGGAUGAAGUUCGGGAUGAGGAUGUCGACGAUGAAGUAAUUCCAAGGAUCAGAAGGUGUUCUUCGCUCAAAACUGGAAAAACCCCUCCAGACACACCUGGGAGGAAAAAAAUUGUUCGGUUUGCUGAUGUACUUGGAUUGGAUUUGGCAGAUGUGCGUACUUACAUGGAUGAAAUUCCGAAAAUUCCUAAAUCAGCUUAUAACGAUCUAAAUGAUGUUGACCUGCUGGAUGCCCCAGAUAUUUUAAUACCUAAUGGUACUUUAAAAUACCAUAAAACUGAACGAAUCUUGGUGCCAUUGUUCGAGCAACCCUCGAGCCUCCCAGGAUUCUUGGACCUCGUAAGGGAUAACUUGGUCUGCCUGGAAAAUGCUGUAGUAGACGAUCCCGUUUUAUUUCUUAUUAAAGGAACCGUUAGGGUGCGGAACUUAGACUUUCAUAAGUCGGUACACGUGCGGUACUCACUGGACAGUUGGAAAACCUAUGCGGACGUCCAGGCCACGUACGUGGAUAAUUCUUGCGACGGCUUCUCCGACAGGUUCUCAUUUACUUUGUACGCGCACACAUUAACGGUGGGGCAGAAGUUGGAGUUUGCGUGUAGGUUCCAAUGCAAGGGAUGCCAGUACUGGGAUAGUAACAUGGGGCGAAAUUACGUUUUCCAGUGCUUGUCCAGUGCGAGUACGGAUAUGGCGUUACACGGACAUGCGGACUGGGGAGCCAGUUUUUAUUAGUUUUCCGAGCCCUUGAGUGGUCACUUCGUGAGUCUUCCAGGCAUUUAAAUCAGAACGAACCGAUCUCCGGAGAAAAAAGAUUUCUGAUGAGUGGUUCCGACAAGCGUCAAAGCGAAGAGACUAAGUCAGCCAAUGAGGGAGUCCGAUAUGGCAACCUCACAUAACCAGCAAACCUCGAAAUCGAAGACUUGAAAAAAAUUACAAUGAUGAAGGACAUAAAGACGUUAUAGAAAAAAAUAUUUUAGUCCAUUUUACGGCAGCCAAUUUCUUGCUACAAACCUAAAGUGGAAACCAUGAACAUUACUGCCUAUUGAGGUUUUUAGAACAUUAAAAGAAAAUGUUGACAGAGUGGCAACAUUGCAUCGAAGCUUAAUAUGCAGUUACACUCUUUUUUAAAAGUUUGUGCCAGUGUAUACCGCUACGCUGCUGCCACGUUUCUCAAUCAAUUUGCCAACAAUAUCAGAAAUCGUCAUGGUUUCCAUAAUAGUUUUUUUUUACAUAAUUUUAACUCAAAAAGCAAUAUUAUUAAAUUUAUUAUAUAUUUUACGACAUAGUAUUUUUAUAUAAACGAUAGUUAUUUGUAUAUUAAAAAUCACAUUUUUAAACCAAUAGUGUACGGCCUUAUCAAUAGUGUACCGCCAUCUGUAUUCCUGUUGGUCGAAUCAAUAAUUCAGUAUGGCGGCCUAUUUUCUCUCUAUGUUGUAAAUGUUAUGUUAUCGCUGCUGUUCAUUUAGGUUAAGUUUGAUUUAUUGUUACAUAUAUGUUAAAAAUUGUCUUUGGCAAAAAGUUUUACAUAAGAGAUGGUAGCAGAGUGUCGUUUACAACACGUCCCUCUCUUUCUCCUCUUCUUUGGGCGUGGCUUAUAGAAGUAUUGCCACAUUUGCCAUUUUUUAUUGUUAGUACUGUAAUUUGUACAUCGUCAAACGAAAGCUUACAGCUCCUAAAGUCACGAACAUAAAAAAAGAAAAUCGAGUCAAGAACUAAAAGGGUAAGAGCAGUCUUUGAAGUCUAAGAAGAAAAGUCGGCCUCUUCUUUAGACAUAGCUUACAGCGGUAUUACCAUACUUGCUAUUUUUUAUUGUUGGAACUAUAAUUUUAUAUCAAACGAAAACUUAACCAAUCCUAAACCCAAAAUUUUUCAGAGACCAGGCCAAGAGUUAAAAGAGUAGGCAAAGGCAUGUUAAAGAGAUCCUCCUCUUUUUGGGUGUAGUAUUUGACUUUUAAAAUUAUAAUUUUUAUUUUUACACUAAAAGAAAGCUUUUACUUUUGGCUGUGCUUAAGCUAUGCACAAAUAUUAAAAAUAAAAUUGUUUAAAUCAGAAAUUAAAACGGGGGAGGGAGGGCGUAUUUUACCUAAAUUAUAUAUUUUCAAACUUUGACAAUACCGUUAAAAUGAUUUUAUUAAAAAACAUAUCUAUUUAAUUACUGAUAUUUUACUUGGGAUGUGGGUGUCAAUAAUAAGAAAAUCUUCCUCAAUGACAUGUUAAAAACCAAAUGGCGGCAUUAGGUUAUUGGGGAAAAUCCUUGUUUCUAGUCGUUUUUUGACACCCGGUAUAUUGAAAACUAGUGGCUGUGAAAAUGGAACGGUGUGAUGGUAGAUAUUUGAUUUUCGGCGUUUAAUAAAAUUAUUGUUAUUCAUAAGCCUAACAUGAACGGCAAGCCUAUUUAGAUCAAACAAAUGUACUCAUUAUGUAAAAUAAAUCUUUUAUCUUUUA